rnacentral:rRNA from 1 species
GUCCUCCGCAUUGGGACUUCCAUCUCGGUCGGCUCGGGCUCAGCGACCUUGUUCUAGUUUGACCGAUGGGCGGGUGAUGCUCCCUUCGCUGCCCGCUUCUCGGACCUCUUCUCCAUCGCCGUCGCCCCUACAAUCUCAGUUCAACAGGCCCUUAUUGACUUAGUGCGCCUCGUGUUCCGGAGGCCAUUUGGGCCUCCGGAAGUGGCCGCUUGGCAUGAACUUCUUGAUUGUAUUGCUCUCCAUGAACCGUCGGUUGAUGCGGGCCCGGAUGAGGUUCGUUGGUGCCUCGAGUCCUCGGGACAAUUCUCCACCAAGUCCCUUUACGCGGCUAUCGCCCCAUCCUCCGCCCCGCCGCCCCUCCAGGCGGUCUGGUCCAUUCGCCUACCCCUCAAAAUCCGCAUCUUCAUGUGGCAAUGGAUCCAUGGCCGGCUGCCGUCUGGAGUUGAGGUCCGCAAGCGCAAUGGCCCGGGAUCCGGCCUCUGCCCCCUAUGUGAUACCCCCGAAGACUCGAACCACAUCUUCUUCUCCUGCGUGACUGCUCAGUUUGUUUGGAGCUACUUUAGAGAGGCGGUUGGUGGAGAUUGGUGCCAUUCCAACUUCCCCGACCUAUUCGCGGAGCUUCAGGCCUCGCCGUCGCCAUCUCGCCACAUUAGGUGGCUUGAGAUUGGGGCCCUCACGUGGACGCUUUGGACUAUUCGCAAUAAGCUUGUGAUUCAGCGCUCCGCUCUUCGACGCUCUACCGACGCUCUCUUCAAACUGUCUGGUUACUUGCAGCUCUGGCGGCCGCUUAGCCGCCCACGGGACCGGGAUGCCAUCUCCGCCUUCAUCGCCGAUCUUCUCUCGAUGGCCGUCCGCCUGUCGCCGCCACCACCGCCGCCUCCGCGUGAGCCUGAUUAG